rnacentral:rRNA from 1 species
GACUCGGGAUAAGCGCUGGAAACGGCGUCUAAUACUGGAUACGAGUAGCGACCGCAUGGUCAGUUACUGGAAAGAAUUUCGGUUGGGGAUGGGCUCGCGGCCUAUCAGCUUGUUGGUGAGGUAAUGGCUCACCAAGGCGUCGACGGGUAGCCGGCCUGAGAGGGUGACCGGCCACACUGGGACUGAGACACGGCCCAGACUCCUACGGGAGGCAGCAGUGGGGAAUAUUGCACAAUGGGCGCAAGCCUGAUGCAGCAACGCCGCGUGAGGGAUGACGGCCUUCGGGUUGUAAACCUCUUUUAGCAGGGAAGAAGCGAAAGUGACGGUACCUGCAGAAAAAGCGCCGGCUAACUACGUGCCAGCAGCCGCGGUAAUACGUAGGGCGCAAGCGUUAUCCGGAAUUAUUGGGCGUAAAGAGCUCGUAGGCGGUUUGUCGCGUCUGCUGUGAAAUCCGGAGGCUCAACCUCCGGCCUGCAGUGGGUACGGGCAGACUAGAGUGCGGUAGGGGAGAUUGGAAUUCCUGGUGUAGCGGUGGAAUGCGCAGAUAUCAGGAGGAACACCGAUGGCGAAGGCAGAUCUCUGGGCCGUAACUGACGCUGAGGAGCGAAAGGGUGGGGAGCAAACAGGCUUAGAUACCCUGGUAGUCCACCCCGUAAACGUUGGGAACUAGUUGUGGGGUCCAUUCCACGGAUUCCGUGACGCAGCUAACGCAUUAAGUUCCCCGCCUGGGGAGUACGGCCGCAAGGCUAAAACUCAAAGGAAUUGACGGGGACCCGCACAAGCGGCGGAGCAUGCGGAUUAAUUCGAUGCAACGCGAAGAACCUUACCAAGGCUUGACAUAUACGAGAACGGGCCAGAAAUGGUCAACUCUUUGGACACUCGUAAACAGGUGGUGCAUGGUUGUCGUCAGCUCGUGUCGUGAGAUGUUGGGUUAAGUCCCGCAACGAGCGCAACCCUCGUUCUAUGUUGCCAGCACGUAAUGGUGGGAACUCAUGGGAUACUGCCGGGGUCAACUCGGAGGAAGGUGGGGAUGACGUCAAAUCAUCAUGCCCCUUAUGUCUUGGGCUUCACGCAUGCUACAAUGGCCGGUACAAAGGGCUGCAAUACCGCGAGGUGGAGCGAAUCCCAAAAAGCCGGUCCCAGUUCGGAUUGAGGUCUGCAACUCGACCUCAUGAAGUCGGAGUCGCUAGUAAUCGCAGAUCAGCAACGCUGCGGUGAAUACGUUCCCGGGUCUUGUACACACC